rnacentral:rRNA from 1 species
GCCUAACACAUGCAAGUCGAACGAAGUAGCAAUACUUAGUGGCAGACGGGUGAGUAACAUGUGGGUAUCUACCCUUUGGCCUGGAAUAACACGAGGAAACUUGUGCUAAUACUGGAUAAGUCUUUACGGAGAAAGCUUUAUGCACCAAUGGAUGAGCCUGCACUUGAUUAGUUUGUUGGUAGGGUAAUGGCCUACCAAGACUGUGAUCAAUAGCUGAUUUGAGAGGAUGAUCAGCCACAUUGGGACUGAGACACGGCCCAAACUCCUACGGGAGGCAGCAGUGGGGAAUCUUGCACAAUGGAGGAAACUCUGAUGCAGCGAUGCCGCGUGAGUGAAGAAGGCCUUUGGGUUGUAAAGCUCUUUCGUCGGGGAAGAAAAUGACUGUACCCGAAUAAGAAGGU